rnacentral:rRNA from 1 species
AUUGAACGCUGGCGGCAGGCCUAACACAUGCAAGUCGAGCGAGCGGCGGACGGGUGAGUAAUGUCUGGGAAACUGCCUGAUGGAGGGGGAUAACUACUGGAAACGGUAGCUACUACCGCAUACCAUCAGAUGUGCCCAGAUGGGAUUAGCUAGUAGGUGGGGUAAUGGCUCACCUAGGGGACGAUCCCUAGCGGGUCUGAGAGGAUGACCAGCCACACUGGAACUGAGACACGGUCCGGACUCCGACGGGAGGCAGAAGUGGGGAAUAUUGCACAAUGGGCGAAAGCCGGAUGCAGCCAGGCCGCGUGGGGGAAGAAGGCCUUCGGGUUGUAAAGCACUUUCAGCGGGGAGGCGGUACCCGCAGAAGAAGCACCGGCUAACUCCGUGCCAGCAGCCGCGGUAAUAC